rnacentral:rRNA from 1 species
UACGUAGGGACCGAGCGUUGUCCGGAAUCAUUGGGCGUAAAGAGCUCGUAGGCGGUUUGUCGCGUCUGCUGUGAAAACCUAAGGCUCAACCUUGGGCUUGCAGUGGGUACGGGCAGACUAGAGUGCGGUAGGGGUGACUGGAAUUCCUGGUGUAGCGGUGGAAUGCGCAGAUAUCAGGAGGAACACCGAUGGCGAAGGCAGGUCACUGGGCCGCAACUGACG